rnacentral:misc_RNA from 1 species
GAUUAAGCUAGUGCAAAGCUAGCCUGCAUGGGCGUUAGGGUUACAAAGUGUGGGGGAAUGUUACGAUCUUCCCAGUGUGGGAUUUCGAUAUGGGGCAUAUAUGGACUUGGGCUCUCCAACAUCAAUAGCUAGCUUUUGAGGUGUGGUCCUCCUGAGUUCAUAACAAUGUCCCACUACUUGUUGUCACUUCCAUAUGACAUGUUCAAAAAGAAAAUACUAGUUUUUUAGAGGAGUUGUUAUGUGGGAACCACUUAUAGUACACAUUAAAAUUUCUCUUUUAAGUCCCGUUUCUUGUUGUGACUUUCAUAAAACAUGUUCAACUGAAACACUUUUUUUUUUUUUCAGUGUUA